rnacentral:rRNA from 1 species
ACGCUGGCGGCGUGCCUAAUACAUGCAAGUCGAGCGAGAUGUUAGCGCAUGAACCUUCGGGGGAUUAUGCUAACGGACAGCGGCGGACGGGUGAGUAACGCGUAGGCAACCUGCCCCUGACAGAGGGAUAGCCAUUGGAAACGAUGAUUAAAACCUCAUGACACCGUAGAAGCACAUGCUUCGUCGGUCAAAGAUUUAUCGGUCAGGGGUGGGCCUGCGUCUGAUUAACUAGUUGGUGAGGUAACGGCUCACCAAGGUGACGAUCAGUAGCCGACCUGAGAGGGUGAUCGGCCACAUUGGAACUGAGACACGGUCCAAACUUCUACGGAAGGCAGCAGUAGGGAAUCUUGCACAAUGGGCGAAAGCCUGAUGCAGCAACGCCGCGUGAAGGAUGAAGGCCUUCGGGUUGUAAACUUCUGUUCUAAGGGAAGAAACAAAUGACGGUACCUUAGGAGCAAGCCCCGGCUAACUACGUGCCAGCAGCCGCGGUAAUACGUAGGGGGCAAGCGUUAUCCGGAAUUAUUGGGCGUAAAGAGUGCGUAGGUGGUUACCUAAGCGCAAGGUUUAAUUUAGAGGCUCAACCUCUACUUGCCUUGCGAACUGGGCUACUUGAGUGCAGGAGGGGAAAGCGGAAUUCCUAGUGUAGCGGUGAAAUGCGUAGAUAUUAGGAGGAACACCAGCGGCGAAGGCGGCUUUCUGGACUGUAACUGACACUGAGGCACGAAAGCGUGGGUAGCAAACAGGAUUAGAUACCCUGGUAGUCCACGCCGUAAACGAUGAGCACUAGGUGUUGGGCCCGUUAGGGCUCAGUGCCGCAGUUAACGCAAUAAGUGCUCCGCCUGGGGAUACGCUCGCAAGAGUAAACUCAAAGAAU